GGCAGCAUGGCGUAGUGGUUUGAAUGCCGGACAAUGACUCUGGAGACUUGAGUUCAAUUCCCAGCUUCGCUA